rnacentral:rRNA from 1 species
AUUGAACGCUGGCGGCAUGCCUUACACAUGCAAGUCGAACGGCAGCACGGGAGCAAUCCUGGUGGCGGGUGGCGAACGGGUGAGUAAAGUAUCGGAACGUGCCCAGUCGUGGGGGAUAACGUAGCGAAAGUUACGCUAAUACCGCAUACGAUCUAUGGAUGAAAGCGGGGGAUCGCAAGACCUCGCGCGAUUGGAGCGGCCGAUAUCAGAUUAGGUAGUUGGUGGGGUAAAGGCUCACCAAGCCGACGAUCUGUAGCUGGUCUGAGAGGACGACCAGCCCCACUGGGACUGAGGCACGGCCCAGACUCCUACGGGAGGCAGCAGUGGGGAAUUUUGGACAAUGGGCGAAAGCCUGAUCCAGCCAUGCCGCGUGCAGGAUGAAGGCCUUCGGGUUGUAAACUGCUUUUGUACGGAACGAAAAGGUUUGGCCUAAUAAGCUGAGCUCAUGACGGUACCGUAAGAAUAAGCACCGGCUAACUACGUGCCAGCAGCCGCGGUAA